AAAGGACUGUAGUCUCCACACUAGCUUUCUUUCCCUUGAUUCCUGGACACUAAAGCAAGCACAAGUCCUGUACAAGUUCAGUCCAGUCCAGCUAGGCCAACAUCUACAAGUCUGUAGCCACAUCUAAUCUGGUAGCAGCUUGAUAGGCUCAGUUUCCAGCCCUUGUCUCUUUCGCCCUGAACAGAUAUGGUCAUUAUCAGCAGAGAAGCAUUAAAGGCAUCCCAAAAUAUUGUGUGUAAAGGGAAUUGCUGAGAGCUGUUAGUCAAUGUAACUCAGGAAAGACUAUGGCACUCCUGUAAUGCUGGGACUUUUUGAAAUAGUUGGAGAUAGAUAACAUAUUUCGAUGCCCGUGGCUAGCUCUUCUGGAUCAUUUUUUGAAUGUCUGCUUUUCCUUUGAUUGUUAUGUGAGAUAUGUUUAUUCCGACUGGUCGAUUGAUCCCCAGAGCCAACCUGCUCCAACUCAUCAGACAAGACAACAGAUAUAACAUUAUCAAUGUUCUUCUUCCUUUUUAAAAAGGAUGGAUCUGAUCAUUUUGUUAUUGUUUAUACAAGUACAUACCAUAU